rnacentral:rRNA from 1 species
AGCUCCAGUAGCGUAUAUUAAAGUUGUUGCAGUUAAAAAGCUCGUAGUUGGAUUUGUGGCCGGCGCCCGUGGUCCAUAUUGGUACUAACGGGCGCUGCCAUCCUUGGGUGGAACCUGUGUGGCAUUAGGUUGUCGUGCAGGGGAUGCCCAUCGCUUACUGUGAAAAAAUUAGAGUGUUCAAAGCAGGCUUAUGCCGUUGAAUAGAUUAGCAUGGAAUAAUGAGAUAGGACCUUGGUACUAUUUUGUUGGUUUGCGCACCGAGGUAAUGAUUAAUAGGGACGGUUGGGGGUAUUCGUAUUCCAUUGUCAGAGGUGAAAUUCUUGGAUUUCUGGAAGACAAACUACUGCGAAAGCAUUUACCAAGGAUGUUUUCA